CGACUCAACCCCCCUGGUUUAUGACCGGGUGUUGGACUUGGACAUGGGCGCUGCCGGUCAUUCGGCUCGCCUCAAAUGACUUAGUGGGAUCGCUAGCAUCUGUGACAGACGUAAUAAGUUUCGUCUUGUCCCUUGCGCGCGUCAAGCCUGCUCAGAACACUGCUUGCCUCUGUGCAACACUUUUUGA
rnacentral:misc_RNA from 1 species